AGGACGAACGCUGGCGGCGUGCUUAACACAUGCAAGUCGAGCGGAAAGGCCCUUCGGGGUACUCGAGCGGCGAACGGGUGAGUAACACGUGAGUAACCUGCCCCUAGCUCUGGGAUAGCUCCGGGAAACCGGGAUUAAUACCAGAUACGACCACUUUAGACAUCUGUCGUGGUGGAAAGGAUUCCGGCUAGGGAUGGGCUCGCGGCCUAUCAGCUAGUUGGUGGGGUAAUGGCCUACCAAGGCGACGACGGGUAGCCGGCCUGAGAGGGCGACCGGCCACACUGGGACUGAGACACGGCCCAGACUCCUACGGGAGGCAGCAGUGGGAAUCUUGCGCAAUGGGCGGAAGCCUGACGCAGCGACGCCGCGUGCGGGAUGAAGGCCUUCGGGUUGUAAACCGCUUUCACCAGGGACGAAGCGAGAGUGACGGUACCUGGGGAAGAAGCGCCGGCUAACUACGUGCCAGCAGCCGC
rnacentral:rRNA from 1 species